GCAUGAGGUGGGAGGUGGGGUGGUUCCCGAAGUCGGAGCUGACAUAGCCUAUCCUCAGACGCCCCUUGCUGAGUACCAGGUC
rnacentral:pre_miRNA from 1 species